AGUAUGGGAGAGGAUGGUAGAAUUCCAGGUGUAGCGGUGAAAUGCGUAGAGAUCUGGAGGAAUACCGAUGGCGAAGGCAGCCAUCUGGCCUAAUACUGACGCUGAGGUACGAAAGCAUGGGGAGCAAACAGGAUUAGAUACCCUGGUAGUCCAUGCCGUAAACGAUGUCUACUAGCCGUUGGGGCCUUUGAGGCUUUAGUGGCGCAGCUAACGCGAUAAGUAGACCGCCUGGGGAGUACGGUCGCAAGACUAAAACUCAAAUGAAUUGACGGGGGCCCGCACAAGCGGUGGAGCAUGUGGUUUAAUUCGAUGCAACGCGAAGAACCUUACCUGGCCUUGACAUACUAAGAACUUUCCAGAGAUGGAUUGGUGCCUUCGGGAACUUAGAUACAGGUGCUGCAUGGCUGUCGUCAGCUCGUGUCGUGAGAUGUUGGGUUAAGUCCCGCAACGAGCGCAACCCUUUUCCUUAUUUGCCAGCGGGUAAUGCCGGGAACUUUAAGGAUACUGCCAGUGACAAACUGGAGGAAGGCGGGGACGACGUCAAGUCAUCAUGGCCCUUACGGCCAGGGCUACACACGUGCUACAAUGGUCGGUACAAAGGGUUGCUACCUCGCGAGAGGAUGCUAAUCUCAAAAAGCCGAUCGUAGUCCGGAUCGCAGUCUGCAACUCGACUGCGUGAAGUCGGAAUCGCUAGUAAUCGCGGAUCAGAAUGCCGCGGUGAAUACGUUCCCGGGCCUUGUACACACCGCCCGUCACACCAUGGGAGUUUGUUGCACCAGAAGUAGGUAGUCUAACCGCAAGGAGGACGCUUAC
rnacentral:rRNA from 1 species